rnacentral:lncRNA from 1 species
GGGUUGAACCCUCAACAUCAUGGUUCCUAGUCGGAUUUGUUAACUACUGAACCACGAUGGGAACUCCUCUCAGAUAUUUUAAUUCUGACCUUGUAUUUGUAAGUGAUUCCUUCGUAGAAGAUACAGGGAAAGUACCAGAAGGAAGAAGGAUGACUGUGUGGCAGUUUCCUGAUAGAUCUUAAGAGGAGGUACACAAAAGAUAAGAGGGCUGACAGUCGAGGGAGCCACAGUGAUGGUGGCUAAAGUCUACUCAAUGCCAGGCACUGUUCUAAGCACUCUUGUUUGACGAGAGCUUUCUGAGGGGGUGCCAUUGUUACUGCCUUUUUAUAGAUGAGCACGUUGAGGCUCUGAGCUUUCAGGUAUUGCGGUAGGUCACACCUUAGUUAAAUCCCUGGAGUAUGAAUCGAUGGGCAGUCUGAUUCUAAAGAGAUGUGAGACUUGCAGAAGGUGCUAUGGACAAUUAAAAGGUUGGUGAGGCGUUCCUCUGUGGUGUAGGCUGGCAGCUGUAGCUCUGAUUUGAUCCCUAGCCUGGGAGGAACUUCCAUAUGCUGCAGGUGCAGCCUUAAAAAGCCAAAAAAAAAAAAAAAAAAGUGUUCAGAGCCAGAAGAUGGCAAGAGCUGCAUGUGAACAGAGCUGAUGCAGGGUGUGGGUACUAAGGGAGCAUAGUUCCUCAUCUCCAUCUCCUGCGUUCUGUUUUUUACGCACAUAUUUCAAAAGCCCAGAAUGUUAACUGUGCAUUGGGGAAGUAAUGAGACCUAGUUUUUCUAAAUGAAAAUUUAAGCCUCCUAGCCUAGCAGAAGUCUUGCCCAGAGUCCUGAGGCCAUUUGGAUGGAGAUUAUUCAUCCAUGCCUGCGAUCUCUGAAGAAACGUGGAGAAUAGAAAUAGUGCUGGACAGGUGUGGGGGGACAUGUGUGGAAAAGGGCUUCAAAGGACGGGUAUCUUUCAAUAUUUAGCGCUUGCAGAGUUUCCAGACUUGUUCUGAGGGCGCCCGCAGUAUAAAACUAGAGUCAGAGAAAGGACAUUAAAUGGGACCAGAUUUAAGUGUCUGGAGUUAAAGUGGGUUUCUUCCCCAGCUGCAGAGUAACCUGCACUUGGAAGGAUUCCAGUGUAAGAUGGAUGAGACCAUGGCCUGGAGAUGUCUCAGGCGGGAUGUUAACAUCAGGGGGCGAUAGGACCUUGAAGGGUUCCUCUGACCUGUUUCUAAAAGGGUGACUUUGCAUGUGUAAGACUAGGCCAGAGAAGUACUUGGAUCUUCGGCUUUCCUCAUUUCCGGGUUGGGAUACUCGGAUUCAGAGAGGCUAAGAGAGCUCUUGGUGACAGGCAGGCUAGGUGGCCCUCUGGGCUCUUCCCUGACGGCAGCUGUCAUGUAUACCAGGCUAUCCAGGGAGCCUCUAGGAGCAGGACAGGUUUGGGGCUGGGCUCACUGGGGUUCAAAUCCCAGCUCUGGCCUUUCAGUCAUCCUUCAGUAUCUGUGGGGGAUUAGUUCCUGGACCCCUUGCAGAUACUGACAUCCUUCCAUGAAUGGCAUAAUAUUCACGUAUAACUUAUGCGCAUCCUCACGGAUUCUUUAAAUCCUCUCUAAAGGAUUUUUUUUUUGGUAAACUUAGAAAACCUCAUACAAUGUAAAUGCUGUGUACCUAGUUGCUAGAAUGCUGGAACUUCAAGGUUUGCUCCUUAGAACUUUCUGGAAAAUUUUUUGCUCUUUCUGUUUUGGCUCCCCACAGCCUAUGGAGUUCCCGGGCCAGGGAUCAGAUCCCAGCCACACAGUUGUGACCUGUGCUGCAGCUGCGGCGAUGCUUGCUGGAUCCUUAACUCACUGCACAGAACCCAUAUUCCUGUGCUUCAGAGACGUCGUCAAUCCCAUUGUGCCACAGCGGGAACUCCUGGGAAAAUUAUUUUUCCUCCCAAAUAUUUUUCAUCUGCGGUUGGUUGAAUCUACAGACGCGGAGCCCUCAGAGCCAGAGGGUCAGGUGUACUCUGUAACCUUCAUUCCUUUUUCCUCAAUUGAAGUAGUGGGAUUGUUGUGAGGAUUAGGCGAAAAGAAAGCACUUGACCUCUAAGAGGUACUGAGGAUCCAUUCUCUCUUCUUCAUGGUUAGGCUUGACAUCUUUAUGUUAUUAUUACUGAGAAGUUUUCCAAAGUCCUUCAACUCAUGCCUAAGAGGUUUCAUUUUUGCCUUGUUUUUCUCUUUGGAUGAUGUGAAAUUUUAAAAGGGCAUUAUUUAGAGUUUCUCUAUAUGUAAAAUCUUUACAUCUUCUAGGGCAUUUUGGAUGAAAGAUCCAACUACAGGGCUUUGAGCAAUUCUUACCCACUCUGAAAUUAUAUGAUUGAUUCCUUUUGAGAACGAUGCCUUCUAACUUUCCUCCUCCUCCAGUGAUGCCCAUGGCUCAUUGGUUACCAUGGUAACCACACUCUAAUAAUCUUGUCAGGAAAUACGACAUAACUAUCUAUCUAAUCUUAUUUUCCAGACCUAAAACAAGCACCCAGCUUCCUUCUAGAGGGUUCAGGGCCCAAGUGUUGCUCCUCCUUGUUCUGAUGUUUUAUAAAACUGUACGUACUUGCAGAAGAAUGUACAUCAUUGGGUGUUUCCUCAACUUAGAAUGUUUAUGGCCCUCAGCGGCCAGUAGGUCGCUGUGAAGGCUUAUGUGAUCUCAUGCUCAUUCUCCUAUUGUUGAGGAAAUUUGGGGGUAGUUUAAAAAAUGCAGAAUUGUGGUUUCUAGAGGAUUUACAUUUAUUUCUGGACAUAAAAGAGUCUAAGGUAAUUGCUAGGAUACAUAGAUCAAGUCAGUAUUUUCACGUUUUUCAGGAGAGACUAACUUGUACAAAACACGUCUCUCCUGGCUCAUGAGCCAGAGCAAGUCCGUACCUUCUCAGCAGCCUCCUACCCCUUCCUCAGCAUCCCCUAAUACCCCCAGGUCCCUGCUCCUGGCAAGACCCCUCCAUACUGCCAGCCUCUUCAUCACUUUCUGCCUUGACCAUCAGGACUAGGCUCACCACACCUCUUUAUCCUGUUUGUGUCAGUCACCAUAGCAAGCCUGGGCUCCCAAGGCAUCCCACAUCUCUCCUCCCUGUGUCCUGUCCUUAUUUGACUCUUUCUUUUUUAAUUUAAAUUUAAAUCUAGGAGUUCCUGUCGGUAAUGAAUCCGACUAGGAACCAUGAGGUUGCAGGUUUGAUCCCUGGCCUUGCUCAGUGGGUUAAAGAUCCAGUGUUGCCAUGAGCUGUUGUGUAGGUGGAAGAUGCGGGUGACUUGGAUCCCACGUUGCUGUGGCCAUGGCGUAGGCUGGCAGCUGUAGCUCCGAUUUGACCCUUAGCCUGGGAAUCUCCAUGUGCCACGGGUGUGGCCCUAAAAAGCAAAAAUAAAGAAAAAAAA